GCAGCCAUGCCGCGUGUAUGAAGAAGGCCUUCGGGUUGUAAAGUACUUUCAGCAGUGAGGAAGGUGGUGUAUUUAAUAGAUGCAUCAUUUGACGUUAGCUGCAGAAGAAGCACCGGCUAACUCCGUGCCAGCAGCCGCGGUAAUACGGAGGGUGCGAGCGUUAAUCGGAAUUACUGGGCGUAAAGCGCAUGCAGGUGGAUGAUUAAGUCAGAUGUGAAAGCCCGGGGCUCAACCUCGGAAUAGCAUUUGAAACUGGUCAUCUAGAGUACUGUAGAGGGGGGUAGAAUUUCAGGUGUAGCGGUGAAAUGCGUAGAGAUCUGAAGGAAUACCGGUGGCGAAGGCGGCCCCCUGGACAGAUACUGACACUCAGAUGCGAAAGCGUGGGGAGCAAACAGGAUUAGAUACCCUGGUAGUCCACGCCGUAAACGAUGUCUACUUGGAGGUUGGAGCCUUGAGCCGUGGCUUUCGGAGCUAACGCGUUAAGUAGACCGCCUGGGGAGUACGGUCGCAAGAUUAAAACUCAAAUGAAUUGACGGGGGCCCGCACAAGCGGUGGAGCAUGUGGUUUAAUUCGAUGCAACGCGAAGAACCU
rnacentral:rRNA from 1 species